UCAGGGCAUGAUGGAAACAUGUGAUUAAGUGUUGCCUGAAACGCGUCGAAUCUGCACUCACUGGUAGUGUGUUCACUUGGGAUGUAUAAGAUGAUGGUUCAAAUCCUGGAUUCAAAUCAGAGGAGGAACUUGAAGCUGGGCGUCCUAAACCCUAGCUUUUGUUAGAAAAUUAAGUGGUUCUUCCCAGUUUGCAUGCAGAGACAAACAGGGGAUCUUUAAGUGGCAUCACUGUCUGCUUCCUUUUCUUCCUUGGUGUUGUGGUUGGCUGCAAUUCCAUAUGGGACCUAAGGAGUGGUAAUGGAACUACACAGAGUAAUACAGAAUUAAUAAAAACACAAUGCCUUUAAGAAACGGGUUUUUUUUUUCUGUUUUCUUAUUUAUUGACAGAUUUUUUUUUAAUUACAACACAAUGAAACGAUGGUAAGUACAUAAGAUGCAAUAGUAUAAAAAAGCCAUUUUACCCCUCCCCUUGGUUAAGACACUUACAGCAGACAAGAACUGCCCUACCCCAAUCCCCCCUCCUCAAAUGAAAACAAAAAUAAAUAUAAAUUAAUAAAUAUAAAACAAAUCACUGCACAGCCCUUAACUCUUUGAUUGCCAUGGCAAGAACCAUAGUGAUGAUUCUAGCAUGUGACUUUUUUGUGGUUAAAUGUUGCCCCAGCAGUCAAAGGGUUCUAGCAUUGUAAACAUAAGUUCUUUGUUGAAAAUGUUCAGUCAUGUUAAUGGUCUACAGCAAUGCGAUUAAUAUCAUGACCCCUUGACCUUUAAUGAUGCAACAUUAUAAGGAGUUAAAGAGAUAAUAGCUUGGUGAGCUGUUACGUAGAUUAAUUAACCCAUUUAACAAUGCACUAUGAGGCCUUGAUUUACUAAUAAAAGACAACUUGUGUAUAAUAAAACACUGUUCAAUGCAUUGAUUAAUAAAAUCAAUGAAAAAAAUCAGUCUAAGCACCACAAAAUUUUGCCUGAUUAUAUCUGACAGUCAUAAUACACUUUAGCACCAUUUAGUCAGCCUUGCAUUUGCACACAAACAAGCUUUGUGUUUGUCAGUAGAAGCUACCUGAAAGAAUAACAUAUGCCAGUUAUAAAAAAGUUACUGUAUAGAAUGCUGUGUGAACCAAAAAAAUACAUAUAUAUAUAAUAUAAUAAGAUGAAAUUUAGUUGCGAAAAGCCAGUAAAUGCUCCAGCUCCUUUUUUUGCUAACGCACAUAAUGAGGCAAAUUCUGGCAUGGAAUGCAUGUGUGUCAAUGCAGCAAAAAAGAAUAUGGUGAGAAAAUGUGCAGCACGCUAUGAAAUCAUUAUGUUUAUAUUCUGAAAUAUUUGCAGGAUUUUGUAAAAUUAUCUGAUCAACUGCUGUGUGGGUCAGAGAGCAGAGCUUGAAAAGAGUCAUGGUUUAUUCAAAUGUGGAUUAUGUUAUAUGUAAAAAUACAUGCAAAUCUGUCCUAACCAUACCAAAAGCCAUGUCCACAUAUGAAAACCUCACUGAGAUUGCUAAUUUUGUCUCAGAGACGGAGUAAAGAAAACAUACCACAACACAGAAAGAAAUAGUAACCAGUACUUAACGUGCCAGGGCCGAAUCAGUUUUUGAAGCAAGAGCAGCUAAUAGGAACUAGAUGGAAAGCUAAAAAGCUGCUAAGAUCAGCCCAACAUGCAACAACCAGAACUGAAGAGGCAAUCAAGUUAUGACAGACAGCAGGGCAGAAAGCUUGCAGCGUAAGCAGGAUGCCAUUCAGGAACAAGCAGUAGAUACAAAAAGAGUAUGCAAAACAAUGCAAACCUAUCAUAUAAAUACAUGCUAAACCCUGACUGACAACCUCCUGUGCAAAGCCAGCCCCUGUGCAUCCAGAAACUUUUCUGUCACACUAUAGACCUACAACAUCCAGACACAUGGCCGUCCCUGAAAGCUGCAAGUUAACAUUGCCAGUGUCCUGAACCCUUAUGUGUGGUAGCAAUUGUCACAGAGAGAUGUGCAUAAGAAUGUUAUCAAGUAUGAAUUACUAGGGAUUAGAAAACAAAAUGCCUAGACAGGAAAGCAUUUUACAUCUAAUAAUGUUGCUCAAUAUGCUUAACCUUGAAACAAAUAUGGCUGAUGUGUAUGAAUGAACCAAUUUGUCACAACAUUUUAGAUUGCCUAUCUUCAACACAGUUGAUGGGCAUCAGGACCUAGCACAGAAGGAAAGACAGUGCAAGGAAGAAAGGUUAAACCCAAUGAAUGGAGCCACAAGGAAUGUGAGCACUGUUGAAAUACAGCCUUCUGGACUGGCCAGCAAACACAAGACCUGACAUGAGUGAACCACAAUUGACUGACAGCAAAACAAUAUGCUGCUGCCUUAGCAUCAUUAACAAAAGGUGUGUGAAACCAAGCAUAGCAAUCCACUCUGCGAUGGCUAAUGUAACAUGAACAAGACAUUUUUUUUUAGAAUGGCUUAGAAAAUGAGAAUUGCCAACAGAUAUUAACAUUCAUGAUCAAAUACUUGGGUGUUUGACUCUGAUUGUGAAUCCACAGAUGUAAUAAAUCUGACCAGGAGAUAAGAAACGUGGCACCAUAACACAUGGAUAUGUUUGGAGUGUUGAAUUGUGUAGCAUCAUUGCAGUGGAAAAUGCGUGGAAGCUUUAAAUUUGUACACAGUGUGUGCUUGAAUAACAAGAGUAACCAUUACACUCCUGGUAGACCAAAAAAAUUGAUUUCUAUCUGACAGGCUUUUUUUUCCCUCUGUAUGGCCAAAUAGUAAAAUUGUAUUUCCUCCACCAAAUCUAUGUAAUUAACAGGUUGGGUCUUACUAUUCUAGCUAAAUCACCCAACCUGUAGAAAAGUACAUUGGAGAAAAACAAUGGAUGAGAGGCUUGCACAUACUUAAGUCAAGUGCUCCUCACCAUGACAAGUUUUUUUUAAAACUUGGAUUAAAAUUGGCUUGAUCAAAUCUAUAUGGAAAGAUCUGUGGUUGGAGUGGAUAAAUGACAAGUUCUCUCUAGUACAUUUUCAGUCAGUUUUAUGCUAAAUGUGUUAAAGAGCCCUUGGGCUUGCUGCCACCUUUUCACUUCAUGGUUAAUAACAUCAAGAGGGAACAAUAUUGGAGGCAUUGUUGCUGGUGCCCAUUGUUGCUUAGUGAUAAAGCCUAAAAAAGAGAUUAUUAGGCCCUUACUCAAUAACUUGAUACUGAUGUUCUAGUAGACUUUCUCUAGCAUACAUUUUAUAUAAAAUUUUCAAGGCAGUGGUUGAAGGCAACUCUGGGCAUAGUUAAAAUGAGGUUUCUUUAUUCCUGUCAAACUGGUUUCAGGCAGGGGGAUAAACUGUUCUUUUUGCUGGUUGGUAUCUUCUCCUAGAGAAGCAUAAUGAUUGGGUGCCCAUGCUAAUACUUUUAUGUCUGUCAUCAUCUUUUGAACUGAAUGAAUGCCUGUUUGAGUCAGCUGUGGACACUGGCAAUAAUGGAAGAAACAGUUCAUGAAUAGAUUAAUUCAGGGUGAAGGUGAAUAACUGCAUUCAUCACAAUUGUGAACCAAGGACUACCACCCUCAAAAAUAAGGGGCUACAUAUUUUGUACAAUGAGUAUGUAGACACUGGUAUAAGUCUAUAGGCUUGUUUCCAUCCAGCCACAAAUAAGACAGUAAUAUUGAGUGAACGUUAGUUGUAGAUGUUUCACCAAGAGUGUUAUAGAAAUAAAGCAAUGUCAACUGGAUAAAUAUUGAAUAGAUGUCUGAUACCACUGUGGAAUUCUUGAAAACUGGAAUCUUAUCCAAAUUGUGUAUCAGUGUUUAACAUGAGAAUGAUGCUAACAUGAUUUUAAUAAUAUUACCUCAAUUACUUCCAAUUCAAGUCACCACAGAUAUUAAUAACCAACAGUGGCCACUGUAGGGCACUGAACUUUGUAGUGUCUAGCUUUAGGGGCAUGGCCAUGGUUUGAUAUCAGUUGCUCAUAUGCUUUCAUUAAGGAGCAGUUAGAUAUGUAGACAGAAACCAGAAUUUACAUCACACAUAUAUGAAAUGUAGUCUCAUCAUGACAGUUAAGGUAGCAUAUGAUCACAACAGCACUACUGGCCAUUGACGUCUUCUGGAAUGAAUCCCAUUGUGAUUGUCAUCCUAAUACACUUAUCCUUUUUAUACACUCAGACACCUGACAUAAACAAAGAGUGGUCAUGUUGGAGUGAUCUAGCCUUGGUGCUCCAGAAAACAUGCAAAAAGCAAGGAUUUUUGUAGGUGAUAUCUUUUAUUGGACUGUAAACAAGGAGUCAAACAUUACUGGCAUUGCUGAGAUAAUGUGAUCAGGAACAGCAGGUCAGCUUUCAUUUUUAUGUUGCAACAGCUAUGAAAAGAACAAAUGGUGGGUGUACUAGUUUGCACUUAAAUUCAAUGUAUGCCAUUUUCUAAUAGCACUUACUUAGAUAUGCCCAGGUAUCAUUCCAUACAAGAGUGUGAGCACUAUUAGUAAUUACUAUAUACUGCUGACCACUACGCUUCAUCUCAAAUUAGGCAUGACAAACUGGUUCGUCAUAGGCAUAGGUAGUGUGGCUCUUUGUCAUGGUGGUGCCAAACUACCUAUUAAGGGUCACUACAGUAUAUACAUGAUUAAUAACUGAUGGGAGUACAGUAUAUGCAACUAUCUAUGUCAUGAAUGUAGAGCUUUAGUAUGUGAAUGCAAUGAGAUUUUAGUAUCAGAAAAAAUGUGACUGUACAAUGUGACUCACUAUCCUUUGUAAACGUUUAAUUUCUAUUAGCAGGGGACUGAUUUGAAAGUAUAGUGUUCCUAAUGGGUGAGAGAUGAGAUGUAUUAUCAGACACUGAUAACUCAUUUUUUUCUGGCGUGUAGCAUACAGAGCUGUUACAUGGAUAUCUGAACACAUCCCCAUAUUGAUACAAAGGGAAAGCAUAAAUGGCAUUUAUUUAUUAGACCACUUGAAAGGAUGUGAAAGGAUGUUGCUGCAGAUUGCACUGGGGGGACAGGCCAUUUAAUAAGUAGUAUUAUUUUAUAUAUUAGUAUCAUUUAAUGAAAUAGAAGCAACUGUUCAUUGUACAUUAUAACUGCAAGAACUGACUGAUGAGAGAUGCUAAAUUCAGGUUUGCACCCCACCCAAACAUUAAGGAAAAGGAAACAAAGACAUGCUGAGUGGCUACAUGCCACUGUUGCUGAUGCCAUGGAACAGCCAUUUUUUAAUAUGAGAUCUUGUAGUUUGACAAGGUCAGGAUUACUACUGACUAAUCAAAACUCCAUGGUUAGUCUGGAUUGCUCAUCCCAAUAAUGAUCUGUGGAUGCUGCCAUUAUGCAUAAGCUUAUGAAGCCAUGUUGCAUAGCUUUCUAGGCAGAAAGAGUAGUACAUAAGAGUUACCAUGUGUGUGUUUUUCCUGUGGCAUCCUUUCUACACUGCAGUGCAUGAAUAGGCAGGUAUAGCUAGUACUCUCUAGUAAUUAUACUUGUUUCAGUAGCUAUUACUGGUGUGUUCAGUUUCAUCAUUCUGUAGCACUUCCUUGAUCACACACUGCAAGACUACAGCAGUGCAUAAGGUUUUCAAUACCAUGCCUGUGCUCAGUGUGUGUUCCAUGCCAGGGGAUGCUGUAUCUAAUAAUUUUGCAUUCACUUUGCAUUCACAAACAUUAACAAAGUGACAACAAUUGGUAGCCGAUAUGCUAAAACUUAUGUAUAUUAGGAGAAAGAGGUAUUUCCUAAGCAUGUUUCUAUGAUUAACUUUGGAACAAUGGUCUUAGGUAGUGGUAAGAUAAGGCAGUGAUUACAAUAGUGACAUACUAAUGUUCCUCAGGCAUCUGGAACUCAAAUCGUCAGUGAGCUUUCUUAGCUAUUCAUAUAUGUAUCAUAUAACAUUGCAACAUACAGUUUCUACAUUGUGUCACAGUAGAAGGUGCCCUGGGGUCGGCUAUUACAUGAACCUAUUGAUGGUAACGUACUGAUCAUGACUGUUAAUACUGGUUAUGGGGUGCAACACCUCAACUGAUACCAAUGCCUCUCCAUAUCAGCUCAACCUUUGUGCCAACUAUUAGGCAGGACACAAGAAUGAAAAAGACAAAUGAAAAAUGAUCAUGUGUUAUCAUGAUGUUUAGUAAUAGGAGCAUAAUAAGAAAAGCUCUGUUGAUCUACACUGAGUAUGCUAUGGUUGCUACUUUUAUAUAGGUUGUGUGUGUGUAUGCAUUCACUCCAGGGGAUCAGCCUCAUCUUAAACGGCCACUAUUAUGCCACUACAAGCAGCAUACUGUGAACUAAUAAAGUUCAGUGUUACAGUGUGUGUCAAUAAUGAUUUUGCUGUAUCACUAAUUGUGACUAUCAGUUCCUUGGUAUAUGUCUGGGAACAAUAUGAUUUACACCCUAAUUUGACCUCCAGUUAGACAUUUGGCCAUGCUGCCCUUUCUAAGGAUGCCUUUUUAGGUAGCUGAUGGUGCUGCAGUCAUUUGUUUGUGGGACUCUAAGUAGCAUACCCAAAAGGUCACAUAUAAAUGUAGAAAACAGCCGGUCCUGUUGUUGGUUCCUUUUAUUGUCUUCUUGGGUGGGUGAAUGAAGUUGUUCUGCCUCAACACAGCAUCAUCCAUUUCUGGACCCAAUGCCAAACUAGCAGAUAGGCCAAGCCUGAAUUUACAUGGGAUGUGGGUCUGCAGCAGAGAGACCCCUGAGAUUGUGCUUUAGUCUGGUCCUACUGUGAUGGUUUCAAUUUAUUUUAUCAUGCAUGUGACAGUUGAAUGCAUAAUGUACGGAGCAUGCACUGCCGAGUCUGUUAUGCGUCUUUUCAAGCCUUGCCCCACCAAGAAUGCAAAUGUGAAAAAAGCUAAAUAAAAAUGUUAUGCUUUCAUUGCUUCUAGGCAGAUCUACUUUUCUGCUCUAUGCACUUUUUCCAACCAACAAGCCAGAAUUUGAUUCGAUAUAAUUAGGUACCAAAGGCUACAUUUAACUAACUGUGACAUAAGCUAACAAAAAGCUGAGGAAAUUGAAGUUAAAUCUUAUAGUUUAUUCUUAUUGGGAUAGGGAUUCUGGGAGGAGGGUAAAACAUAAACCAAGUUAUGAGAUAAAGGGAGUCUGGCUCUUAACUUUGAAGUUUCCUAGCUCUUGUCAUUUGUUUCAUAACCUAAACCUUUUCUUCUUUUGUUUUUUAAGAUUUAUAACAUGAUCCCCCAACCCUUCUCUGAAAAAGAUAAAUAAAGAUAAAAUGUCCAUAGGAAGUUAUAAAAUGUGUAUUGUAUUUAUUCAGGAAAUUUGAAAGGGCUCCUUUGGAUCCCUUUUGAAUCUCCAUUCCAGCCCAUCAAGUAAACAUUGGCGUACAUAUUUUCUUAAAUUUCUUUUCUGGUAAAAGUUAAUUUCUGCAUAUAGUAAAUAACUUUUUUCAUAAAUUCAUAGGUUAGAAGGCCAGAAAGGACCAUUAUGAUCAUCUGACCUCCUGCAUAACACAGACAUUGGACUCCAGAUUUAAGCAACCUACUACAUUCAGUUUAAUAGCCUGUAGCAGAUUGACAAAACCCAUUUUUCAUAUUGUAGUUAUUCACAAUAUGGAUUGUAACAAUAUUAAUAUGGAGAUGUCUAUUAAAAACAUUACGAAAAAUGUUACUGAACAUGACCAGUAACCAGAAUUUCAGAACUCAAAGCAGGUAUUUUAUUUUUCCCCCACUGAUGCUAAUAAUUCUAGACUCUAUUGGGUCCUGACUGUUUAUCAGAUUUCAUUUUAUUAAAUUAUAAACUAUUUUUGACUUAUACAAGUUCAAAACUAAACCCAGUAAAAAAAUUUAUUUGUGCUGAACACCUAUAAUUUAAAACAACCACACACAUAUUUCGGAUACUAGGCCAAACACAAAUUACUCCUAGAUUUUUAAGCCUGAAGCAAAUUUUAAUGGCUGUGUUAUAACCUAUUGAAAAUAGAAGUAUACCAUAGAAAUGCUGACACAACCUUAGCCUGCAUGGCAUAAACAUGCCAGUACAGUGCUCUUAUUAUCCCUCUCUCUGUAUAUAAUAUAUAUAUAUGCACUUUUAAGUAAAAGAAAAUAGAUUGAAGAAUCAAGUUAUUAUGCAUCCAUGUAUCUAUGUUGUACCAAGCACUAGAUUAUCACACUUACCUUUCUGCAUAAUUACUGUAAGUUAAAUUCUCCAAAUACAAACAUUUUUGUUACCCUAUCAAUGUACAAGUCAACAUGCUCAGUACUUCAUUAUCCUCAGGGAAAUAGUUGCACAAAAAGUCAAAGCUGCCAUGAGAGAGACUUUGAAAAUGAAGUGAAAUUUCCAGGUGAGUCAGAAAACAGAUAAAAUGCUGUUCUGUUUUAAA